CCUACGGGCGGCAGCAGUGAGGAAUAUUGGUCAAUGGACGAGAGUCUGAACCAGCCAAGUCGCGUGAAGGAUGACUGCCCUAUGAGUUGUAAACUGCUUUUAUAAAGGAAUAAAACGAGGUACGUGUGUCUUUUUGCAUGUACUUUAUGAAUAAGGAUCGGCUAACUCCGGGCCAGCAGCCGCGGUAAUACGGAGGAUCCGAGCGUUCUCCGGAUUUAUUGGGUUUAAAGGGAGCGUAGUUGGGUUGUUAAGUCAGUUGUGAAAGUUUGCGGCUCAACCGUGAAAUUGCAAUGGAUACUGGCAGGCUAGAGUGCAGUAGAGGUAGGCGGAAUUCGUGGUGUAGCGGUGAAAUGCUUAGAUAUCACGAAGAACCCCGAUUGCGAAGGCAGCUUACUAAACUGUGACUGACAUUGAUGCUCGAAAGUGUGGGUAUCAAACAGGAUUAGAUACCCCAGUAGUC
rnacentral:rRNA from 1 species